UAAGGAAUAUUGGACAAUGGAGGCAACUCUGAUCCAGCCAUGCCGCGUGCAGGAUGAAGGCCCUCGGGUUGUAAACUGCUUUUGUACGGAACGAAAAGCCUCUUUCUAAUAAAGAGGGGUGAUGACGGUACCGUAAGAAUAAGCACCGGCUAACUACGUGCCAGCAGCCGCGGUAAUACGUAGGGUGCGAGCGUUAAUCGGAAUUACUGGGCGUAAAGCGUGCGCAGGCGGUCUUGCAAGACAGUGGUGAAAUCCCCGGGCUCAACCUGGGAACUGCCAUUGUGACUGCAAGGCUGGAGUACGGCAGAGGGGGAUGGAAUUCCGCGUGUAGCAGUGAAAUGCGUAGAUAUGCGGAGGAACACCGAUGGCGAAGGCAGUCCCCUGGGCCUGUACUGACGCUCAUGCACGAAAGCGUGGGGAGCAAACA
rnacentral:rRNA from 1 species